rnacentral:misc_RNA from 1 species
GUGAAUCAUCAAAUUUUUGAACGCAAAUUGCACUCUCCUCGGAGAGUAUGCCUGUUUGAGGGUCAGCCUAUAAAAAAUCGACAUCGUUGCUGUUUCGCGGUGGCGUUCGUCGGAAAUUGGGUCAUCUUAAAUCUUUUGGUUUUAAGCGACUUAAAAUUUUUUUUUACGAUUCUAAGAAUGUUUCUAAGAUUUUUCUUUUCCGUUUAAGUUAUGAAUUGUUUUU